UACGAAGGGGGCUAGCGUUGCUCGGAAUCACUGGGCGUAAAGGGUGCGUAGGCGGGUUUUUAAGUCAGGGGUGAAAUCCUGGAGCUCAACUCCAGAACUGCCUUUGAUACUGAAGAUCUUGAGUUCGGGAGAGGGGAGUGGAACUGCGAGUGUAGAGGUGAAAUUCGUAGAUAUUCGCAAGAACACCAGUGGCGAAGGCGGCUCACUGGCCCGAUACUGACGCUGAGGCACGAAAGCGUGGGGAGCAAACAGG
rnacentral:rRNA from 1 species